GUUUGAGUGAAUUUUGAUUCGUAGGAUGAUGAUGGAGGAACUGUAAGUGAUGACAUUGAGAAUCUAAGAGGCACAGGGUUUCCAGGGGUUGCUUCCGUAAGUAAUGUUCCUCCAAGGGAACAAGCCAAGUGGAAACGCAAGACAAUUGUUAUACUUGCAUUGACUUUUCUUACAAGUUCACAAGCAAUACUUAUUGUCUGGUCGAAGAUAGCUGAGAAGUAUUAGUAUAAUGUUACCACAGCGAACUUUAUGGUGGAGACUUUGAAAUGUGCCUUGUCACUUGCAGCGUUGGCAAGAAUAUGGAAAAGUGAAGGUGUUACAGAUGAUAACAGGUUGAGUACAACCCUCGAUGAUGUUAUUGUUUAUCCUAUUCCUGCCUUACUUUAUCUUGUC